rnacentral:rRNA from 2 species
AAAUUGAAGAGUUUGAUCAUGGCUCAGAUUGAACGCUGGCGGCAGGCCUAACACAUGCAAGUCGAACGGUAACAGGAAGCAGCUUGCUGUUUCGCUGACGAGUGGCGGACGGGUGAGUAAUGUCUGGGAAACUGCCUGAUGGAGGGGGAUAACUACUGGAAACGGUAGCUAAUACCGCAUAACGUCGCAAGACCAAAGAGGGGGACCUUCGGGCCUCUUGCCAUCGGAUGUGCCCAGAUGGGAUUAGCUAGUAGGUGGGGUAACGGCUCACCUAGGCGACGAUCCCUAGCUGGUCUGAGAGGAUGACCAGCCACACUGGAACUGAGACACGGUCCAGACUCCUACGGGAGGCAGCAGUGGGGAAUAUUGCACAAUGGGCGCAAGCCUGAUGCAGCCAUGCCGCGUGUAUGAAGAAGGCCUUCGGGUUGUAAAGUACUUUCAGCGGGGAGGAAGGGAGUAAAGUUAAUACCUUUGCUCAUUGACGUUACCCGCAGAAGAAGCACCGGCUAACUCCGUGCCAGCAGCCGCGGUAAUACGGAGGGUGCAAGCGUUAAUCGGAAUUACUGGGCGUAAAGCGCACGCAGGCGGUUUGUUAAGUCAGAUGUGAAAUCCCCGGGCUCAACCUGGGAACUGCAUCUGAUACUGGCAAGCUUGAGUC